rnacentral:rRNA from 1 species
AGAGUUUGAUCCUGGCUCAGGACGAACGUUGGCGACGUGCCUAACACAUGCAAGUCGAGCGGAGAACUUAUUAUGAAAUCUUCGGAUAGAUUAAUAAACUUCUUAGCGGCGGAUGGGUGAGUAACGCGUGAGGAACCUGCCUUUUACAAGGGGAUAGCCUCGGGAAACUGGGAUUAAUACCCUAUGAAACUUAAAAGUCUCAUGAUUUUUAAGUCAAGGAUUUAUCGGUAUUAGAUGGUCUCGCGUCCCCUUAGCUAGUUGGUGAGAUAAAAGCUCACCAAGGCGACGAUGGGUAGCCGGCUUGAGAGAGUGAACGGCCACACUGGAACUGAGACACGGUCCAGACUCCUACGGGAGGCAGCAGUGGGGAAUCUUGCACAAUGGAGGGAACUCUGAUGCAGCGACGUCGCGUGAACGAUGAAGGCUUUCGAGUCGUAAAGUUCAGUCCUAUGGGACGAUAAUGACGGUACCAUAGGAGGAGGCCCCGGCUAACUACGUGCCAGCAGCCGCGGUAAUACGUAGGGGGCGAACGUUGUCCGGAUUUAUUGGGCGUAAAGGGUACGCAGGCGGCCAGAUAAGUCAGAUGUGAAAUCCUAGGGCUUAACCCUAGUUAGCAUUUGAAACCGUAUGGCUUGAGUUAAGGAGAGGAAAGUGGAAUUCCUGGUGUAGCGGUGAAAUGCGUAGAUAUCAGGAGGAAUACCAGUGGCGAAGGCGACUUUCUGGACUUAUACUGACGCUGAGGUACGAAAGCGUGGGGAGCAAACAGGAUUAGAUACCCUGGUAGUCCACGCCGUAAACGAUGAGUGCUAGGUGUCGGGUGUCAAAGCUCGGUGCCGGAGCUAACGCAUUAGGCACUCCGCCUGGGGAGUACGUACGCAAGUAUGAAACUCAAAGGAAUUGACGG